GAGGUCACACCCGUUCCCAUACCGAACACGGAAGUUAAGCUCUUCAGCGCCGAUGGUAGUUGGGGGUUUCCCCCUGUGAGAGUAGGACGUUGCUAGGC
rnacentral:rRNA from 1 species